CUACUUGCUAUGCUAUGUAGCUGGGAGCAAAAUGCUGGUGCCAAGCCAGCACAUGGCACUCAUACUGAGUGUAGCUGGCAGGGUGUGGAGGAUCAGUUGAAGCAAGUAUUCUCCUGUUCUUGUGCUCAUGCGAACAGUAUCUAUCACCUAAUGAUGUACUGGAAGGCUUGAUUCCUAGUGACAAUCUUCUCAAAAUUUCUGCUUAGAGCUUAGUAACUUGUUAAUUACUGCCUUAUGCACUCAGCACUCUGUCUGGACCCCACCUUCAAUAACCAGGGGUGAUCUUCCCAUCCCAUCUGUACUCCAUCCCUAUUCCCUACCUUUACACCCAUGUCCAAUAAAUCAAUGAAAUAGGCAGAAGAGAGUAUGUAUCGAUGAGUUAUUAGAGUGCAAGGUUAUUACAUUAUAACAACGUGACACACACAAAUGGGUGAAGGGAGAGAGGGAGACACAAAAAAUAUGGGGAAAUGGCAAUAGACACACAAAAAUAUAGGAGUAGGUUGAAAGGCAAAAGCAGUUGGGUCAUAGGGAUAACAAAAUUUACACUCCCACAUGCAAUAUACUACAAAGUCACUGCAGUCACACAGUACACAUAAAUGCGUUUUCACUAUAUAUGCACACUCAUACAAAUACAU